AAGCGACUAAGCGUACACGGUGGAUGCCCUGGCAGUCAGAGGCGAUGAAGGACGUGCUAAUCUGCGAUAAGCGUCGGUAAGGUGAUAUGAACCGUUAUAACCGGCGAUUUCCGAAUGGGGAAACCCAGUGUGAUUCGUCACACUAUCAUUAACUGAAUCCAUAGGUUAAUGAGGCGAACCGGGGGAACUGAAACAUCUAAGUACCCCGAGGAAAAGAAAUCAACCGAGAUUCCCCCAGUAGCGGCGAGCGAACGGGGAGCAGCCCAGAGCCUGAAUCAGUGUGUGUGUUAGUGGAAGCGUCUGGAAAGGCGCGCGAUACAGGGUGACAGCCCCGUACACAAAAAUGCACAUACUGUGAGCUCGAUGAGUAGGGCGGGACACGUGGUAUCCUGUCUGAAUAUGGGGGGACCAUCCUCCAAGGCUAAAUACUCCUGACUGACCGAUAGUGAACCAGUACCGUGAGGGAAAGGCGAAAAGAACCCCGGCGAGGGGAGUGAAAAAGAACCUGAAACCGUGUACGUACAAGCAGUGGGAGCCUCUUUGUGGGGUGACUGCGUACCUUUUGUAUAAUGGGUCAGCGACUUAUAUUCUGUAGCAAGGUUAACCGAAUAGGGGAGCCGAAGGGAAACCGAGUCUUAACUGGGCGUUAAGUUGCAGGGUAUAGACCCGAAACCCGGUGAUCUAGCCAUGGGCAGGUUGAAGGUUGGGUAACACUAACUGGAGGACCGAACCGACUAAUGUUGAAAAAUUAGCGGAUGACUUGUGGCUGGGGGUGAAAGGCCAAUCAAACCGGGAGAUAGCUGGUUCUCCCCGAAAGCUAUUUAGGUAGCGCCUCGUGAAUUCAUCUCCGGGGGUAGAGCACUGUUUCGGCAAGGGGGUCAUCCCGACUUACCAACCCGAUGCAAACUGCGAAUACCGGAGAAUGUUAUCACGGGAGACACACGGCGGGUGCUAACGUCCGUCGUGAAGAGGGAAACAACCCAGACCGCCAGCUAAGGUCCCAAAGUCAUGGUUAAGUGGGAAACGAUGUGGGAAGGCCCAGACAGCCAGGAUGUUGGCUUAGAAGCAGCCAUCAUUUAAAGAAAGCGUAAUAGCUCACUGGUCGAGUCGGCCUGCGCGGAAGAUGUAACGGGGCUAAACCAUGCACCGAAGCUGCGGCAGCGACGCUUAUGCGUUGUUGGGUAGGGGAGCGUUCUGUAAGCCUGCGAAGGUGUACUGUGAGGUAUGCUGGAGGUAUCAGAAGUGCGAAUGCUGACAUAAGUAACGAUAAAGCGGGUGAAAAGCCCGCUCGCCGGAAGACCAAGGGUUCCUGUCCAACGUUAAUCGGGGCAGGGUGAGUCGACCCCUAAGGCGAGGCCGAAAGGCGUAGUCGAUGGGAAACAGGUUAAUAUUCCUGUACUUGGUGUUACUGCGAAGGGGGGACGGAGAAGGCUAUGUUGGCCGGGCGACGGUUGUCCCGGUUUAAGCGUGUAGGCUGGUUUUCCAGGCAAAUCCGGAAAAUCAAGGCUGAGGCGUGAUGACGAGGCACUACGGUGCUGAAGCGACAAAUGCCCUGCUUCCAGGAAAAGCCUC
rnacentral:rRNA from 1 species